rnacentral:lncRNA from 1 species
AGAUCAACUAAACAGUCCCUUUUACAGAUCAACUAAACAAUUCUACACUGCUAGAACACUCACUGGAAAUGUAAAUAAUCCCGAAAUCUACUGCUGUAGCUAAUGUACCGAACAAGGAAUUAAUAUUCUGUUAUGUAUAAAUAAUUCAUUGUCCAUGGUAGAGGUUAUAGUAGUAUAGAGAUGGUCGAGGUUAUAGUAGUAUAGAGAUGGUAGAGGUUAUAGUAGUAUAGAGAUGGUAGAGGUUAUAGUAGUAUAGAGAUGGUAGAGGUUAUAGUAGUAUAGAGAUGGUAGAGGUUAUAGUAGUAUAGAGAUGGUAGAGGUUAUAGUAGUAUAGAGAUGGUAGAGGUUAUAGUAGUACAGAGAUGGUAGAGGUUAUAGUAGUAUAGAGAUGGUAGAGGUUAUAGUAGUACAGAGAUGGUAGAGGUUAUAGUAGUACAGAGAUGGUAGAGGUUAUAGUAGUACAGAGAUGGUAGAGGUUAUAGUAGUACAGAGAUGGUCGAGGUUAUAGUAGUAUAGAGAUGGUAGAGGUUAUAGUAGUACAGAGAUGGUAGAGGUUAUAGUAGUACAGAGAUGGUAGAGGUUAUAGUAGUACAGAGAUGGUCGAGGUUAUAGUAGUACAGAGAUGGUCGAGGUUAUAGUAGUACAGAGAUGGUCGAGGUUAGUCAGCACUCUCACAGAAUGUUUCCGGCAGAGAAAUAUAAUCUAGAUUCUAUUUCUAUGGUCCCUGUU